CAACCUGCCCACCACUUGGGGAUAACCUUGCGAAAGUAAGACUAAUACCCAAUGACGUCUCUAGAAGACAUCUGAAAGAGAUUAAAGAUUUAUCGGUGAUGGAUGGGGAUGCGUCUGAUUAGCUUGUUGGCGGGGUAACGGCCCACCAAGGCGACGAUCAGUAGGGGUUCUGAGAGGAAGGUCCCCCACAUUGGAACUGAGACACGGUCCAAACUCCUACGGGAGGCAGCAGUGAGGAAUAUUGGUCAAUGGGCGAGAGCCUGAACCAGCCAAGUAGCGUGCAGGACGACGGCCCUAUGGGUUGUAAACUGCUUUUAUAAGGGAAUAAAGUGAGUCUCGUGAGGCUUUUUGCAUGUACCUUAUGAAUAAGGACCGGCUAAUUCCGUGCCAGCAGCCGCGGUAAUACGGAAGGUCCGGGCGUUAUCCGGAUUUAUUGGGUUUAAAGGGAGCGUAGGCCGGAGAUUAAGCGUGUUGUGAAAUGUAGACGCUCAACGUCUGCACUGCAGCGCGAACUGGUUUCCUUGAGUACGCACAAAGUGGGCGGAAUUCGUGGUGUAGCGGUGAAAUGCUUAGAUAUCACGAAGAACUCCGAUUG
rnacentral:rRNA from 1 species